GUAAAUGAUGAAAACCUGAAUAGGAAGUGCCGUCAGAUGCGAUAACUGACGAUCUGUUUUUAGUUUCUGAUU
ensembl:snoRNA SNORD49A small nucleolar RNA, C/D box 49A